rnacentral:rRNA from 1 species
UACGUAGGGGGCGAGCGUUGUCCGGAGUUACUGGGCGUAAAGGGCACGCAGGCGGUCCUGUAAGUCUGUUCUGACAGCUCCUGGCUCAACCGGGAGAGGCGAGCGGAAACUGUAGGACUUGAGGACUUCAGAGGGACACGGAAUUCCGGGUGGAGUGGUGAAAUGCGUAGAGAUCCGGAGGAACACCAAAGGCGAAGGCAGUGUCCUGGGAAGUACCUGACGCUCAGGUGCGAAAGCCAGGGGAGCGAACGGG